UNCAUCUAUCAGGUGUCUCAGCCGCUCACC
rnacentral:piRNA from 1 species